AUGUCUUCCACGGCAUUCAUGAAGGACGCACGUCGGGGAUUUAUGGCAGAUGCCCGCCGGGCUGCACAGACCCGCACCUCUCCUCGGCCUCUCCCUUCCUCGUGCCCUCCUGCAUUGGGGAACAGAUCUGACAGGGGCGAUACUAGGAUGAACUUCACUAUGAAACCUUUAGGAUCUACAAUCAAGAAGCCCUUCAUCCUGGACAUGAAAGUCUAUUCAAAACUAGAACAUCAUCAGAAGGAAGGGUUGAAGUGGUUGUGGAGAAUUCAUUGCUGUGGAAAGGGUGGUUUAUUGGCGGAUGACAUGGGGCUGGGCAAAACCUUCCAGAUAUUAGCCUUUAUAGCAGGUCUGAUUCAAUCAAAUUUGAUGAGAAGGGUAAUUAUUGCUGUUCCUACCAUGAUACUCGAUCAAUGGGUUACAGAAAUGGAAGAAGUCGGCCUUAAAAACUAUAUAUACAUCUUCAAGGAUAUAAAAACAAGAAAUAUGGAGCUUAUGAAGGUUUGUCAGGAGAAAAAUCCAAUUUCUUUACAGCGGUGUUUGAACACAAUGGCAUAUUUUGUGGGCUGGAUGAUAGAAGGACAUUUUGGGGAAGCACUCAAGAGGAGUAUGACAAUUGUGAUGCGAACACAUGGUCUAGGGAUGUGA
rnacentral:rRNA from 1 species